rnacentral:rRNA from 1 species
AUUGAACGCUGGCGGCAUGCUUUACACAUGCAAGUCGAACGGCAGCACAGUAAGAGCUUGCUCUUACGGGUGGCGAGUGGCGGACGGGUGAGGAAUACAUCGGAAUCUACUUUUUCGUGGGGGAUAACGUAGGAAAGCUUACGCUAAUACCGCAUACGACCUACGGGUGAAAGCAGGGGAUCUUCGGACCUUGCGCGAUUGAAUGAGCCGGUGUCGGAUUAGCUAGUUGGCGGGGUAAAGGCCCACCAAGGCGACGAUCCGUAGCUGGUCUGAGAGGAUGAUCAGCCACACUGGAACUGAGACACGGUCCAGACUCCUACGGGAGGCAGCAGUGGGGAAUAUUGGACAAUGGGCGCAAGCCUGAUCCAGCCAUACCGCGUGGGUGAAGAAGGCCUUCGGGUUGUAAAGCCCUUUUGUUGGGAAAGAAAUCCAGCCGGCUAAUACCUGGUUGGGAUGACGGUACCCAAAGAAUAAGCACCGGCUAACUUCGUGCCAGCCGCCGCGGUAAAAC